AAGAGAAAAUAGUAACAUAAAAGAUAAAAAAGAAAGAACAUAAUAGAUGACUUAUUAGAGUAGAAUAGGCGAGACCUACAUGGAAAAGAAGAUGAGAAGAAUGUGUGAUACUACUAUGAGAGAUUUAAGAAGGUUGAAAUUGAAACCCUAAGUGUGAUUAAGAGAAAAUCGUUUGUAAUUGUAAGAUUAAGGCAUACUAGGUUUGAGGUUUGGGUUGGAUGUGUGAUAAGUGAACUUUGGGUUGUAACAUAAUGCGGUUUGGUUUGGUUUAGUUCGGUUUGCAAAAUACAAACCGCAAACCAAACCAAACCGUGCGGUUUUAUUAAAAAAUGACCCAAACGAAUUCGAACCAAAUGCGGUUUUUUA
rnacentral:lncRNA from 1 species